rnacentral:lncRNA from 1 species
AUUUAAUGGAGGGUAAAGUUUUUAAUCUACUUGUUGGAGGCUUAAUAUUUCUAAGGAAGAAAAGAUGCCUUACAAUCUCAAAAGCCAGAGAGAAGUCUCUCUUUAUUUUCUUUUUUUUCCCCCAGUUGAAAGAAUUUUUUGUGUUUUCUUAUGGGGACCUAUUGGUCAUCGUAUUAAUUUUAAAUAACAUUAACUUUUCCCACCCUUAAUUACGAAAUAUGUAUGCAGCACAAAAAUCUUAAAAAAUAAAAAAGGCACAAAGAAGCAAGACAAAUUAUUGUGAAUACCAACAGGCGGGGAAAGGCACAGAGACAUGAUGCGUCUGUCUAUUGCACAGCAUCAUUACGGUGAAAACUCAGAGAGGAGCUUAGAAGUGAUCGCCGGUCCUCAGGGCCAACACCAACCAGAGAACAAAUUACAUCCCCCAUUAACCUGCUUACUGCCAUUUACGUGGUUCUGCUCUCCUGUAACUAAACCGCUGCAAUGACUGUUUGUAAAUACAAAAGCGUGACGUGGCGACCACCGGAAUACCACCCGCACUCCUGGAUUAAGGUUGGAAUCCUAACACCCAGUGUGGUGGUGUCAGGAGGUGGGGUCUUUGUGGGACAAGUAGGUCAGGAGAGCAGAGCCCUCACGAUGGGAUGAGUGAGAAGAAACACGAGGGAGCUUGCUUCCUCUCCCUCGGCUCCAGAGAAAACGUGUGAGGAUACGAUGAGAAGACCCGCGGCCAUCUACAAACCAGGAAGUGGGCCCUCACCAGGCACUAGAGCUGCUGGCACCUGGAUCUCAGACGCCCAGCCUCUAGAACUGUGAGAAAUAAAUGUCUG